AUGCAACGCACACUGACAUUUGCCUGGGAGCUCCAUGUCUUUGGCUCUGCCACUCUUUUUACAGUAAUGGUAGUCCUGGCAGUAACAGGAUUAGUUACUGCAUGCAGUCUUUCGCUUCCACAUUCUCUGGGUAAUGUCCUGAUUAUUGCAAAUUUUUUUCUUAUUGUGGUCGGCUCUUUGCGUACUGUUCUUCUUCUACUUGAUCCUUACGGUACUCGUCAGAUCUUACCUCACUCCAUCCUGGCAGUCCUGCAUAAUGUUCCUCUGUCACUACUUCUAUGGACACAAGCCAUCCUUGCGAUAGUCACACUCAGAGGAUUAAAAUGGUUGAUUUUCCCAAUAAAGCUGCAGUGUGCGUGGAUGAUUGGAGGGUUAGCUCUAUUCCAUUGCACUGCAUUACUAAUUGCAGACCUGUAUUCUUUCGCUUUCCCCCCGACUUUCCCUCUGCUACUACAAAGCCUCUCAGUCUGUUGUGGUUUUUCACUCUGCUUAGGAAUCCUCACAAAAUCCCUCACUCAUCUACACCCUUCUGUCACAUCACUGAUUCAAUCUUGGAUCCCUUCACAUAGGAGUGAAAGACGUGCGAGGCGACUAACGGCAGUUUGCGCCUUUCUCGGUACGCUGUGCUGUAGCCUUCAUUUGUAUAGCCUCUUUUGGCUUUAUGGACUGUUGGGGAACUGGAGGCGCUUUAGCUGGGGUUGGUGGCUCAGUCAGUUUUGGGCCAGAAUCCUGGAGUCAGCUUGGGGUUUCUCUCAGCUUGCAUUGUGUUCUUGGAUCUUUUGGGCUCCGUGUGAAAGUCAUUCACAGGCCGACCAUUGGCUUGGUAGAGGUGGGGUGUCAAAAGGGACUAAGAAACAAAGCUUGUGGUGCAGAGUCUUGGAAAAGAAGUGGAGAGGCCCACUAAGGAAAGCAGACAAGAACUGGGAGGACCUGAUGCCAAAUAACUGGGCAAAGUACAACCUUUCUAAGGCAUCAAUCAACAGCACUGUAUUGCACCCAUACGAUGCUCAACAAUGUACAGUUUUACAGCAAUACAAGCCUGAUUCUGUUAACAUUAGCAUUCAUGACCCUCAGGCUUUAUCAUUGUGGCAAAAAGUCAGUGAUCCUGAAUGCAUUCUUUCAGUCAUUGAGUUUGACAUGCCCCCACCAUCUCCGAUUAACCUCCGGCGCAGCAUUGACAAUGCCCUUUACCACGGACAGCUUAUAAAUGGUCUGUUCACACCUACACUUCUCUCAUUUGCACAGAACACUGACAUUACUGAGCCACAUCACGCUCAAUCAAAUUUGCCUCCUAAUUAUGCCGGCUACAGGUGGAUGCUGGACACAGAGUCUACCAUGCCAUCUCCUGACCAUUUUCUGGUAAAUGAGCCCAUUCUCUUCCCCAGUGCUACGGCUGAUUGCAAUGGCAGCACGGUGUCUACAGCGAAUGUACGUCAUGGAGAUGUUCUUCAAGCAGCAAUGCAACAUGACUGA
rnacentral:lncRNA from 1 species